rnacentral:lncRNA from 1 species
GUCAUUUCACUAGACGUCCUACUCACGGUUAAACACUUAGGCAUUGCUUCAUAAUUCAUGAAUCAUUUGGGUUUCCUUAAAUGGAAAGUCUCCUAAACGAAAAGUUUCCCAAAAUAGAGACUUUCCCAAAUUAGUAAGUUUUCCGAUACAACCCGAUCUUUCCUAUUCUAGAAACUAGGACGCAUCUUGAAUUAGAGGAUUGGUGACUACCACCAAAGCUUCUGCCGGAAAAGCUGCUCUUGCUGGAAUCCGUCAACUAACUGGAAAUGUUCACCGAAUUCCGAUGACUUGCCGGAAUCUGCCCAAAACCUCUAAUAAGCUCCGAUUUACUCCAAAACCAACAUGCAAGACCAGAAAACAACGAUUCAAUCAUCCAAUCAACACCAGCAAACACAACCAACCAACAUUUAUAUUAUAUACUAAUUCUCAGUUUCAAUUUGAACAAUAUUAUAAGGUGUGAACUUACAAGUUUGUCAUUCUUUCUGUUUUUAUUAUAUCUUUGUCACUCACUCUUACAUGCAUAAUUUAUAUUUUUAUCCAUGUUUUUCUUUUUAUUACAACUUUACAAUUUUGGGGUUGAAGUGACGUUUUUAUCUAUUUUUUUCAUUUUUAUAUUUAAUCUUUUUUUCAUAUUUGUAUGCAUUUGUCAAGCCCCAAGCAACGCUUGGGUGCACCACCUUGCUGGGGUACACCGCCUAGUAGUAGCUAAAACAGGAUCCUUACCUUCAAUCUGCCCCAAAUCGUGAAUUCAGUAGCCUUACCUUGCUGAGACUCGACCCAACCAUCCCUGCCGACGAACAACGCCCCCAACUGCCUAUCCAAACUCGUGAGCCUCUGCCUUGCCGGAUUUUCACAUGCAUGAAGCAUAAC